GUGCCAGCCGCCGCGGUAAUACGGAAGGUCCGGGCGUUAUCCGGAUUUAUUGGGUUUAAAGGGAGCGCAGGCCGAAGGUUAAGCGUGACGUGAAAUGUAGCCGCUCAACGGCUGAGUCGCGUCGCGAACUGGCUUUCUUGAGUGAGUACGACGGAGGCGGAAUUCGUGGUGUAGCGGUGAAAUGCUUAGAUAUCACGAAGAACCCCGAUUGCGAAGGCAGCCUCCGAGUCCUUAACUGACGCUAAUGCUCGAAAGUGCGGGUAUCGAACAGGAUUAGAUACCCUGGUAGUCCGCACGGUAAACGAUGGAUGCCCGCUGUUGGCGAUACACAGUCAGCGGCCAAGCGAAAGCGUUAAGCAUCCCACCUGGGGAGUACGCCGGCAACGGUGAAACUCAAAGGAAUUGACGGGGGCCCGCACAAGCGGAGGAACAUGUGGUUUAAUUCGAUGAUACGCGAGGAACCUUACCCGGGCUUGAACUGCAGCAGACGGAAACAGAGAUGUUGACUCCCUUCGGGGCUGCUGUGGAGGUGCUGCAUGGUUGUCGUCAGCUCGUGCCGUGAGGUGUCGGCUUAAGUGCCAUAACGAGCGCAACCCCUUUCUUCAGUUGCCAUCACUUCGGGUGGGCACUCUGGAGACACUGCCACCGUAAGGUGCGAGGAAGGUGGGGAUGACGUCAAAUCAGCACGGCCCUUACGUCCGGGGCUACACACGUGUUACAAUGGGUGGUACAGAGAGCAGGUCGUCUGCAAAGCCGGUCGAAUCAUGAAAGCCAUCCUCAGUUCGGAUUGGGGUCUGCAACCCGACCCCAUGAAGCUGGAUUCGCUAGUAAUCGCGCAUCAGCCAUGGCGCGGUGAAUACGUUCCCGGGCCUUGUACACACCGCCCGU
rnacentral:rRNA from 1 species